AUGCCACCGGCAUGGACUGAAGGGCCUGGAUGCAUUCGACCAUGCACAGGGAAGCUCAUGUCCGGCGACUGCGGCGAUGGUGCGAACAAGGGGCUGGCAACGGACAUGGCGCAACUCGGUGGCGGCGGCAGUGGACUGCAGGCUAUGUGUGGAGCAGAAGGUGACCGAGCUGCCCAACUACUGCCGGAGAGUGUGAUAUACAACAGUCACAUGGCACCCUACGAGAUGUACCCCUUCUUACCGCUCGACGGCGUCGGCGAGUUGGCCGACGAGUUUGGUCCGGUCUGGUCUAGCUGCUGGACUUAUACCUAUCUUGCCUCAACGCACAGAACCACGAAGCAAACCAAGGAGACGAGCAAAGAUGCGUCGGGAAGGACGGCAGCGAGGGUGGGUGCGCGUGUACGACCGCGAGCUGGUCGACCCGGAAGCAAGCGCCGCGCCGUGCACGCCGUGGAGGGGCCGGCGGUGGCCAACGGCGGGUUCUUCAGGGCGCCGCGGAAGCCGACCAACCAGUCCAAGUCCGGCGGCCUCCGCGCGCUCGGCAGGAGCGGCAUCGCACAGGAGGAGGAGGAGGAGCCACAGACCCUUCCGCCAACGAUGGCCGGGCGCUUCGGAUACUACUACUCGACGGGAUGGCAGUCGCCGUUCAAGUACGAGUCCGCCAUGUACAAAGAAGUGGAGAUCCGUCCGGCGGCGGCAGCGCGCUUCGGGGGAAGAUCGUCGUGCAAGGCGGGGCGCAAGUUCAGGCACGACGAGGUCAAGAAGUACUACCUCGACGCGGCCGACGUCCUCGACGGGCAGCUCGAUUAUCUUCGUGACUUCGAUUCAUGA
rnacentral:rRNA from 1 species